GUAGGUGAACCUGCGGAAGGAUCAUUAUCGAAUCCUACCAGGGAGGGGAGGGAAGACGGAUGGAGGAGUCAAGGCUGUCGCCGGCAACGUGCACGCCCCUUUCUCUUUCGUGGAACCUCCCCUUUCUAGUUUCCUUAUCCACCUGUGCACCCUUUGUAGGCCCUCGAAAGAGGAUCUACGUUUUCUCUAUAUACGCUUUUUGCUAUGCAUGUCCAGAAUGUAUACAAACUUUACAACUUUCAGCAACGGAUCUCUUGGCUCUC
rnacentral:misc_RNA from 1 species